rnacentral:rRNA from 1 species
UACGAAGGGGGCUAGCGUUGCUCGGAAUCACUGGGCGUAAAGCGCACGUAGGCGGACUCUUAAGUCGGUGGUGAAAUCCUGGAGCUCAACUCCAGAACUGCCUUCGAUACUGGGAGUCUCGAGUCCGAGAGAGGUGAGUGGAACUGCGAGUGUAGAGGUGAAAUUCGUAGAUAUUCGCAAGAACACCAGUGGCGAAGGCGGACUCACUGGCUCGGGUACUGACGCUGAGGUGCGAAAGCGUGGGGAGCAAACAGGG